UAAGGAAUAUUGGACAAUGGACGCAAGUCUGAUCCAGCCAUGCCGCGUGAAGGAUGAAUGCCCUCUGGGUUGUAAACUUCUUUUAUAGGGGAAGAAAGAUACUUUUUUUAAGGUAGUUGACGGUACCCUAUGAAUAAGCACCGGCUAACUCCGUGCCAGCAGCCGCGGUAAUACGGAGGGUGCAAGCGUUAUCCGGAUUUACUGGGUUUAAAGGGUGCGUAGGCGGGCAUGUAAGUCAGUGGUGAAAUACCGGAGCUUAACUUCGGAACUGCCAUUGAUACUAUUUGUCUUGAAUAUUGUGGAGGUACGCUGAAUAUGUCAUGUAGCGGUGAAAUGCAUAUAUAUUACAUAGAACACCGAUUGCGGAGGCAGCUUGCUACGCAAAUAUUGACGCUGAGGCACGAAAGC
rnacentral:rRNA from 1 species